rnacentral:lncRNA from 1 species
GGCAGAUCUCGAACUGCUGAGCUCAAGCGAUCCUCCCGCCUCCCCUCCCGAAGUGCUAGGAUUCCAGGUGUGGCCACCGCGCCCACCACUUCCUUGCCUCCUCUCCCAAGCUUGCCCUCCUGUCUCCUGCUUUCCCUUAGACAAACUCAUAUGAUCCUGGGCCCGCGCAGAUAAUCUGGCAUAAUCUCAAAAUCCUUAAUCCCAUCUCUGGGGCCACAAUUCAACCAACUACAAGCUUGAAUUUGGGGAAUGAGCCAUGGAGGUGUUGGGGAGAGCGUGUUCCUGGCAGUGCAAGAGCCAGGAGGCAGGAGACAGCCGUCUGCAGCAGCCCCACUCCCGCCCUCCAGGGGCUGUGCCUUCUCCUACAGAAGUACCAGGAGGAUCACGGCGCCCACAGCCUGGCAGCUGCUCCACCACACCUUCUCACUCGGUGCCGAGUGCAGCUGUUCCUGUCUGAGGAGGCUCAGUUUGGAAGCAGCCCCUCUUGGGACUCAGAAAUCAAGGUCUCCGCCUUCCCCUUCCUCGAGAACACCAACCUCUCAAUGAACUUUCACUUCUUACUGCGGUUAGCAGUUUUUAGCAAGUUAUUUUUAUCUAAUAAAAACAAUAUAUAGUUUUAAAAA